UGAUAGCUCAGUUGGUAGAGCAUGAGACUCUUAAUCUCAGGGUUGUGGGUUCAAGCCCCACGUUGGGCAAAA